rnacentral:lncRNA from 8 species
CUUCAAUGAAUGAUGGAGAUUAAUUGGGUUUUCUGCCCAUCAUAUAACAAGUCCAUACCAAAGAUUAGUAAUUUCCUGAUAUAAAAAAAUAAAUAAAGUAACAUCCGGUUACUGGCAUUUAAAGGCCCUUUCCAGCAACCUGAUUGGUUAAAAUGCCUCAUGUGCCACACUUCCUUGUUUGAAAAUAUCUCCCGCAAAGAAUCCCGUGAAGAGAGACACAAUUUGAAAAUGUCGAAGAAUAUACUUACAGUUUGUGAAUAAAAAUAAGCGAACUGUUAGUCAAUGUGAGAAAAACAGUGAAUGAAAGAAAACAUGUGCCCGAUCAGCCGAUCGAGGCAGCCAGUGGCAGUACAGAUAGAUGAGAAAAGGAGGUAGCCGGCAGGAGCACGUCAAGACGCAAAUUAGUUGAGAUGAAGAUGAGAGCUAGCAGCGAUCAACCAGGCAGCAGCCAGUCAACCAACAGUGGCUUUUAUAUCACAUGUCACAAAUAAAGCAAUGUGUACAUGUUUUGCCCUAAGUAUCUAAACACUAGACUGAAAAUCACCAUAGACCUCACCAACCAGGGAUUUUGUAAUUCUGUCAUGAUAGAAUGUGCACACUGUUAAGGUGAUCGUGAUACAUUUAGGAGGAGUGUUUACACUUCUUCCAGGCUACAGGCGUGCUCCAGGGGAGAUGUGGCAUUUGAAAUGUGAAGAUGGUUCUUGUAGCCCACGAACUUGGACUUGGUUAUGCAGCUCUAAAGAAAAUAAGCAAAGUACUAGGGAUUCCUUCCGUGCUUCACAGAUCAUAUCAGAGAUUCAACAGAUGGUGGAAGACAUUUUGGCUGGAGGGAGGCAUUCUUUGCAGUGAAGGUAGACCCAUGAGCCCGUCCGAAAUGCUUGAAACAGCUGACAGUGAAAAGAGGUUAGCAUGUGAAGCCUAAUUGUAGCAGGCCAGGAAUUGUCUUUAAAUGGUCUCUCCAAGAUUUUCAUUGUUUAACAGUAGUCGAUUUACACAGUUUCAAAUAAAUGUGUCUCGCCAUCUGUGGGGUACCUUGGGGGAAAAAAAUCACAUCUGGAAGACAUCAAUGGUUAAGUGAUUUGCCUGUCUGGUCAAAUCCUACACAGAUAAAAAAUCUUUGCAUGGUUUUACAAAUUUUAACAAAAUGCUUUUUUUCUUGUUUCAGUGCAACAUGAGGGAACUGUCUGUUAAUCAUUAUUUGUAUGCCACAUUUCAAAGUGAAAUUCGUAAUAAGUAACUUUUUAAUAUAAACAUGAAUUUAUUCCUUUUUACUUCAUGAAAACCCCAUGAUGUUCCUUAAUCUUGGUCUUGACAGAAAUCAGUAAAAAAAAAGAAGAAGGGAAUGCAUUUAACGAAAAGAAUGGACCUUGAAACAGAGACCUCCAUUUCUGGGAUCUUCUAUUUCAGCUCAUGAAACAUUAUAUUUAUAUAUUUUAGCAAUGUACAUGCUUUCCUUUUGACAGGCAGCCCAAUUCUGAUAUUUGUUCCACUAAUUGGGCUUUUGACCAAUCACAUCAGAUCUUUUCACAUCACCUAUUUUUCAUAGCUGAUCUGAUUGGGCUGCAUGUCUAAAAAUAGCCCUAGAGUCCAGAGUUAUGUAGUCAGUAGCAUAUAACAUGUCUAUUUGAGAUGAUCCUGUCUCUUGGUAACUGACGCUUGUACAAACAUAACCAUGAUGUACAACUCAAUUUAGUGAUAAUAAGAUUAACCUAAUAGUUUCAAUAACCUGUAACACAGCAGCUGGCGCCAACGGCCAAUUGGACUAUGAGUGCUUAAUUUGCUGAUUGAAUUCCCUUAAUCGGUUGAAACAAUCAGUGCAAGUACUUAACAUGUUUCAGCUUGACUUUUGUUUGAUUAACUUUCCACAUGUCGCUGUGGAGCCACCAGAGGAAACUAUCUUGUCCACAUAUAAAUAUAUCUGUAGUGCCUGAAAUCAUGUUUACUUCAUUAGAAUAUAGUUGUAUUCAAAUCCAAGGCUUUAUGUGUAUUUUAGUCAGAGAAUAGUGUGGGAAUCUCAAUGAGUAUAAGAAAGGUCUGAAUUCCUUGAAUUCAUUUUUGUUCUUAUUAACUUCUUCCUUCAGUAGUGGUAAGAGCAUUGAGCCAGUAACUGAAAGGUUGCUAGAUCGAAUCCCUGAGCUGACAAGGUAAAAAUCUGUCGUUCUGCCCCUGAACAAGGCAGUUUACCCACUGUUUCUAUGCCGGCAUUGUAAAUAAGAAUUUGUUCUUAACUGACUUGCCUAGUUAAAUAAAGGUUACAUUAAGGCAUGACACAGCACAAUGAAUGCACUGCUCUGCACUGACUGCUUCCUCCAUGUCAUCAAACAGAGAAUAAAUCAAAUCAAACCGUUAAGCUAGAGAGCAUUGACCAAAUAUCCCAAAGGUCUUAGUGCAAUAACAUCUUGGAUGCUAGCUUGAGCCAGGGAUUUUAAUGCUCUGAGAAGUGUGAAAUGGCGCCAGAAGAAUUGGCAGCAGUUUUACGGGCGCUCUACCAAUUGUUCUAUUAUGUGUUUUUUUCAUGUUAUUUGUAACUUAUUUUGUACAUAAUGUUUCUGCCACCGUAUCUUACAGCAAAAAAGAGCU